rnacentral:rRNA from 1 species
UACGUAGGGUCCGAGCGUUAAUCGGAAUUACUGGGCGUAAAGCGUGCGCAGGCGGUGAGCUGUGUCCGAUGUGAAAGCCCCGGGCUUAACCUGGGAAUGGCAUUGGAAACUGGCUCGCUGGAGUGUGGCAGAGGGGGGUGGAAUUCCGCGUGUAGCAGUGAAAUGCGUAGAUAUGGGGAGGAACACCGGUGGCGAAGGCGGCCACCUGGACGGUAACUGACGCUGAGACGCGAAAGCGUGGGGAGCAAACAGG